GUGACUGUAGCUCAGUUGGUAGAGCACCGGGUUGUGGUCCCGGGUGUCGAGGGUUCAAGUCCCUUCAGUCACCCCG
rnacentral:tRNA from 1 species